rnacentral:lncRNA from 1 species
CGGCAGGUGGGGCUUGCAAAUGAUAUUUCUAAUCAGAUGUUCAUCCAGAAAGUAAUUAACUUUAGGAAAGUAAAGGCCCUAGAGGCUUCUGAAAAGAUUUCCUUACUCUCAAUUCUCCCUGAGCAUUGCUUGAUAUUUGCCUCCCCCUGAGCUGUAGAGCCCAAAGGGAAGAUGAGAAGCAAGUCCUGCUGAUAUGGAUGCGGAUCACAUUUGCGUGACUCAGAGCUGUGGGGACAGUGGUUCUUUCAACUGCUCCUUAUGUGAAGAAUUUCUCCAGGAUUCAUCAUUCCAUCUGGAUCUGUAUAAAUAAAGCUGAAGUUCUGGUCAUGACCACUCCCUGGAUCACUCCUGCCCCUGUGUUCCUGGAGCCUCAGAGUUUUGCGUCACAUGAGCUCCCAAGCUCUUCCUUUCUCAUUCAUCUGCUUUGGUUCAUUCUUGUUGAGACUCACUAUAAGGAAAGCACCUCAUCCUGCUACAGCUGGGUACAGAACUCUGAUGUCUUCAUAAAAGUUGCUGCCUCUUGGGAGCUGUGAGCAUUGGGAUCAGCCAGUAUGGCACAUUUGCUGCUACCUCAGGGCGUGAGAGCAUGCUAAGCUCCACAUGAAGGCCUCACUUUCCCACACUAUCUCCACUGAGCACUGAAGUGAUGAUGUUGUGUCCCUGUGUCUCAGGGGUAAAUGGAGGCAGCCUUUUUCUUUUCAGGGCUGACACAAAAAGUCAAUGGGGCUUGGGGAUGAAUAACAACAAAGGACAGGCCCUCUUGCAUGAGGUCAGUCCCUCCUGCUCCUGCCCUCAAAUGUAUAUGCAAAACUAUUUUCCUUGUUCUGUGCAUGAGGUCACUGUCUAUGGUCCCAUUGAUAUGGUUUGGCUAUGGACUGACCUAAAUCUCAUCUUGAAUUGUAAUAAUCCCCAUAUGUCAAGGGUGGGGUCAGGUGGAGGUAAUGGAAUCACAGGGGGUGGCUUCCCCCAUACUAUUCUCAUGAUAGUGAAAAAGUCUCACGAAAUCUGAUAGUUUUAUAAAUGGGAGUUUCCCUGCACAAGCUCUCUUGCCUGCUGCCAUGUAAGACAUGAUUUUGCUCCUCAUUUGCCUUCCAUAAUGAUUGUGAG